ensembl:lncRNA
CUUGGACAGAUGCAUCACGCCCACCACAGGUCAAUGAGUCAGAGCGCAGCAGGAACAGAGACUGCAUAUGGGGCCCACCCCGACGGCCAACCAGCGUACACGGUGAGAUGUCUCCUGAAGCUUCAACCUCGGGGCAGGGGAUUCCAGUACCUGGUUGACUGGGAGGGUUAUGGUCCGGAGGAGAGGUGCCUGGUCCCCGCUAGGGACAUCCUGGACCCAGGCCUCAUCGCUGAUUUCCGACGCCGGCACACCUGUCAACCAGGUAUGCACCCAGUUCCUGUUUUCUAGUUUUGACCAUUUUGUCUGCCUUGACCCUGAGCCUGCCUGCUGUUCU